UGACAGUUAAUCAGGAAAUUGGAAGAGUUAUAAGUAACUUCUAAUAGGAUUUGUCGUUCUGGGAAAAAUUAAUCAUUCUCGGACCGGAUCGCCGGAGGCUUGGAAUAGGGCGGGCAGAGAGAGAAGAGAGAGAGUACCUGGCUGGUAUCCGAGAGGAGAAGGAGGACACGGAGGCUAUGCCGGCAGGAGCCCUCUUCCACCGUCUCCAGCGUCGUCGGUGGCUGAGGAGGAGGGGCGGAGAACCACGGAGGAAGAGGACUCGAAGAGGGGAUGGCAGAGCGAUCGGGGGAGAUUUGGGAUUUCUAGGGUCCGGUUCGCUGGGUUUCCCGCCCGACCGCCCGGUCCAUU
rnacentral:lncRNA from 1 species